rnacentral:rRNA from 1 species
AGCGAACGCUGGCGGCAGGCCUAACACAUGCAAGUCGAACGAACCUUUCGGGGUUAGUGGCGGACGGGUGAGUAACACGUGGGAACGUGCCUUUAGGUUCGGAAUAACUCAGGGAAACUUGUGCUAAUACCGAAUGUGCCCUUCGGGGGAAAGAUUUAUCGCCUUUAGAGCGGCCCGCGUCUGAUUAGCUAGUUGGUUGAGGUAAUGGCUCACCAAGGCGACGAUCAGUAGCUGGUCUGAGAGGAUGAUCAGCCACAUUGGGACUGAGACACGGCCCAAACUCCUACGGGAGGCAGCAGUGGGGAAUCUUGCGCAAUGGGCGAAAGCCUGACGCAGCCAUGCCGCGUGAAUGAUGAAGGUCUUAGGGUUGUAAGAUUCUUUCACCGGGGACGAUAGUGACGGUACCCGGAGAGGAAGCCCCGGCUAACUUCGUG